rnacentral:rRNA from 1 species
GGGUUGUGAGGUUAAGUGACUAAGCGUACACGGUGGAUGCCUAGGCAGUCAGAGGCGAUGAAGGGCGUGCUAAUCUGCGAAAAGCGUCGGUAAGGUGAUAUGAACCGUUAUAACCGGCGAUACCCGAAUGGGGAAACCCAGUGUGUUUCGACACACUAUCAUGUCAUGAAUACAUAGUGGCAUGAGGCGAACCGGGGGAACUGAAACAUCUAAGUACCCCGAGGAAAAGAAAUCAACCGAGAUUCCCCCAGUAGCGGCGAGCGAACGGGGAGGAGCCCAGAACCUGAAUCGGCUUGUGUGUUAGUGGAAGCGUCUGGAAAGUCGCGCAGCAAAGGGUGAUAGCCCCGUACACUAAAAUGCACAGGUCGUGAGUUCGAUGAGUAGGGCGGGACACGUGACAUCCUGUCUGAAUAUGGGGGGACCAUCCUCCAAGGCUAAAUACUCCUGACUGACCGAUAGUGAACCAGUACCGUGAGGGAAAGGCGAAAAGAACCCCGGCGAGGGGAGUGAAAUAGAACCUGAAACCGUGUACGUACAAGCAGUGGGAGCACCUUCGUGGUGUGACUGCGUACCUUUUGUAUAAUGGGUCAGCGACUUAUAUUUUGUAGCAAGGUUAACCGUAUAGGGGAGCCGUAGGGAAACCGAGUCUUAACUGGGCGAAUAGUUGCAAGGUAUAGACCCGAAACCCGGUGAUCUAGCCAUGGGCAGGUUGAAGGUUGGGUAACACUAACUGGAGGACCGAACCGACUAAUGUUGAAAAAUUAGCGGAUGACUUGUGGCUGGGGGUGAAAGGCCAAUCAAACCGGGAGAUAGCUGGUUCUCCCCGAAAGCUAUUUAGGUAGCGCCUCGUGAACUCAUCUUCGGGGGUAGAGCACUGUUUCGGCUAGGGGGCCAUCCCGGCUUACCAAACCGAUGCAAACUCCGAAUACCGAAGAAUGUUAUCACGGGAGACACACGGCGGGUGCUAACGUCCGUCGUGAAGAGGGAAACAACCCAGACCGCCAGCUAAGGUCCCAAAGUCAUGGUUAAGUGGGAAACGAUGUGGGAAGGCAUAGACAGCCAGGAUGUUGGCUUAGAAGCAGCCAUCAUUUAAAGAAAGCGUAAUAGCUCACUGGUCGAGUCGGCCUGCGCGGAAGAUGUAACGGGGCUAAACCAUGCACCGAAGCUGCGGCAGCGACGCUUAGCGUUGUUGGGUAGGGGAGCGUUCUGUAAGCCGUUGAAGGUGGCCUGUGAGGGUUGCUGGAGGUAUCAGAAGUGCGAAUGCUGACAUAAGUAACGAUAAAGCGGGUGAAAAGCCCGCUCGCCGGAAGACCAAGGGUUCCUGUCCAACGUUAAUCGGGGCAGGGUGAGUCGACCCCUAAGGCGAGGCUGAAAAGCGUAGUCGAUGGGAAACAGGUUAAUAUUCCUGUACUUGGUGUUACUGCGAAGGGGGGACGGAGAAGGCUAGGCUAGCCGGGCGACGGUUGUCCCGGUUUAAGCGUGUAGGGGGUGUGACCUGGUAAAUCCGGUUGCAUACUAACCCUGAGGCGUGAUGACGAUGCACUACGGUGCAGAAGUAGUUGAUGCCCUGCUUCCAGGAAAAUCCUCUAAGCUCCAGGUAACAUUAAAUCGUACCCCAAACCGACACAGGUGGUCAGGUAGAGAAUACCAAGGCGCUUGAGAGAACUCGGGUGAAGGAACUAGGCAAAAUGGUGCCGUAACUUCGGGAGAAGGCACGCUGGCAUGUAGGUGAAGUCCCUUGCGGAUGGAGCUGAAGCCAGUCGAAGAUACCAGCUGGCUGCAACUGUUUAAUAAAAACACAGCACUGUGCAAACACGAAAGUGGACGUAUACGGUGUGACGCCUGCCCGGUGCUGGAAGGUUAAUUGAUGGGGUCAGCCGCAAGGCGAAGCUCUUGAUCGAAGCCCCAGUCCAGUAAACGGCGGCCGUAACUAUAACGGUCCUAAGGUAGCGAAAUUCCUUGUCGGGUAAGUUCCGACCUGCACGAAUGGCGUAAUGAUGGCCAGGCUGUCUCCACCCGAGACUCAGUGAAAUUGAACUCGCUGUGAAGAUGCAGUGUACCCGCGGCAAGACGGAAAGACCCCGUGAACCUUUACUAUAGCUUGACACUGAACAUUGAGCCUUGAUGUGUAGGAUAGGUGGGAGGCUUUGAAGCGUGGACGCCAGUCUGCGUGGAGCCAUCCUUGAAAUACCACCCUUUAAUGUUUGAUGUUCUAACUCGGCCCCGUGAUCCGGGGUGAGGACAGUGUCUGGUGGGUAGUUUGACUGGGGCGGUCUCCUCCCAAAGAGUAACGGAGGAGCACGAAGGUUAGCUAAUCACGGUCGGACAUCGUGAGGUUAGUGCAAAGGCAUAAGCUAGCUUGACUGCGAGAGUGACGGCUCGAGCAGGUACGAAAGUAGGUCUUAGUGAUCCGGUGGUUCUGAAUGGAAGGGCCAUCGCUCAACGGAUAAAAGGUACUCCGGGGAUAACAGGCUGAUACCGCCCAAGAGUUCAUAUCGACGGCGGUGUUUGGCACCUCGAUGUCGGCUCAUCACAUCCUGGGGCUGAAGUAGGUCCCAAGGGUAUGGCUGUUCGCCAUUUAAAGUGGUACGCGAGCUGGGUUUAGAACGUCGUGAGACAGUUCGGUCCCUAUCUGCCGUGGGCGUUGGAAGAUUGAGAGGGGUUGCUCCUAGUACGAGAGGACCGGAGUGAACGCACCACUGGUGUUCGGGUUGUCAUGCCAAUGGCAUUGCCCGGUAGCUAAGUGCGGAAAAGAUAAGCGCUGAAAGCAUCUAAGCGCGAAACUUGCCUCAAGAUGAGUCUUCCCUGGGCCUUUAAGGCCCCUGAAGGAACGUUUAAGACUAAGACGUUGAUAGGCUGGGUGUGUAAGUGCAGCGAUGCAUUGAGCUAACCAGUACUAAUGAUCCGUGAGGCUUAACCUUACAACACCGAAGGUGUUUUAG